GGGCUCACUUCAACAGCAUAUAUAUGAAAAGUGGAAUGAUACAGAGAUCAGCAGGGCCCCUGCCCAAGGAUGACAUGAAAAUUCAUGGAAUGUUCCAUUCAAAA
ensembl:snRNA U6 U6 spliceosomal RNA